GUGGGAGUGGCGCCCAUUCCCAGGCAGGCUUCAACGCCACUGAAAGCCAGCGAUGGAGACAGGCAGCCUCUGAGAAAAGAGACAGCAGUGGGAAAUUUUGCUUUGAUGCUGGCUCGUCAGCUAGCUCCGGCACCAGGGAGGAGGAGGAGGAAGGACUGCCGGCUCUCGCGAUGCUCCCCUGCAUGUGCAUACAUGCAGAGCUGAGCUCAGCCAGAGAUCCUGGGAGAGGGCUGCAGCAACCGCAGAGCAAGUCACCAGCUGUGCCCUGCCUGACUGGGCAACACAUGGCUGGCACAGCAUGNNNNNNNNNNNNNNNNNNNNNNNNNNNNNNNNCCACCCGCCAUUGGACAAGAAAGACCGCGGAGAAGAGCUGGCACUGCAAGGAGGCUGUGAAAGGACCGUGUCGUACAACCGUCCAUCGUCCCAAGAUGUCGGUCAUCAGUCCAGGAACUCCAGAGCUUCUUGGAAAUCUUUACCUGCCUACAACAAAGCCCAUCACAAUUCAGCUGGGCAAAUAUGUAAAACUGACAAAGCCACAAUGAGCCAGGUCUCCACCCCCUUGGUAGGCACCACCAUGACAAUGUGGAGGCCUUAAAGAGAUGCCAUCAUAUAACAAAGACCAUGAACUUCCAAGCAAUAGGGAUCACCCUCUUCUCAGCAGGAUCAAAAGACAUGAACAUUAAGUGGUCAUGUUGCUCCACUGGUUCCCUCAAGUCAAGAGUUGACCACAAAGUUUCAUUCUUCUUUGAUGAACGGAUGCCACAGUUAAUUCUGGCUCCUUUCCUGCCCCCAAACGUAUUGGCACUGUCACAGUCCUUCUACCCAGUUUUUGGGUCCAUGCUUAUGACCCAAGCAGGUACUCUAGGAAGGCAAAAUAGCAAAGUAAGGUAGGUGUUCAAGAAACUCCAGGGGAAUCUAUUUGCCCAAUUAAUGACCUUCCUAUCUAAAUUGGAAUUUUCCUUUCAAGUUUGCCAUCCAGUGCAGUUUCUCACACUGAUCUUCUCCACCCACAUAAACGUUCCACCUCUGCCCUGGCUGCCGUCUCCAGUUUUCAUCCACACCUGUGAUACUCUAGUCAUGGUCCAGUAUGUCUCCCCCUCUACUUCAGGGCAGUUUUACCCCCAUUUUUAAAGCCAUUUUCUCCAUAUGCACCUUGACCACAUUUGUGUACCCGUGCUCACUGCACACAUGCAGCUCACGAGUGUGUGUAACGCAGGGAUCUGGAGACUUCCACCCAGCAGCUCCAAAGCCCCCACAUCCCUCACCUGCAGUCACCUGCAAUGGUGCUCCAUAGUCUUCCUUUGCCGGGCUGAAGCAAUGGCCUUGCUUGGGAAUGAAGGGAAGCAAGACAAAGAGACCUGGCAAUGGACUGGUUAUACACAGCAGAUCCAAGCCAAGAUCCCACCACAAAAGUGAGAGUUAUUUCCUUGAGACAGCACAGACAAGACAAGCUUUAUAUAAAUCACAUACAGCAAUGCAUACUCACACAGAGCUAUAUGUAAGAUAUAUAUACAGUACACACCAAAAUAACACCAAGGAGUAUGGAUGCCAAAGAAGGGGUAAAAUUAGUAUAUUAGAGAAGUGGCACAAUCUUAUAAGAGAACGGAAAAAGGGCCUAUUUUAAACAGUAAUGAACACAUUUCAAAAAUAUUGGAUAUUCUUGGCUUGGAGCCCUACAUACCACAACAUACGACAAUCACAUCAGAUUGAAGAAUGAGAAAAAUCAGCCAGAAGGUCCAUGGGAGAUCUCCCAAGAAAAACAAGGAUUGUAUGUGGUAGGGCGCUGCAGCAAAUUAUUUCCCUGGCAUCACAGAGUGCACCAGUGUUCUGUCUAGUCCAGCCUGCUGCUGAAAUGCAACUUUCUGAGUCACACAGCCCUUACAUGGCAAAAAUUAGCAAAACCUCAGAAAUAUUUUUUUUUAAUCUAUUCCUUGAAGGUUAGUCCAAUAUUAAUGAGACAAAAAGCAACGUUGGCAGAGAAUACCAGGAUGCCAUUUAACCCAGAGAAAGCUGAAAUGCCAAUAAUGUAAAUUGGAACCAAAUAAUACUGUUGUUAGCUCAAUGACUUCAUAACAAUCAAGUUAAGGAGGAAAAGGGAGAUGGAAAAUAAAUGAAAAUAGGCUGGACA
ensembl:lncRNA